UACAGAGGGUGCGAGCGUUAAUCGGAAUUACUGGGCGUAAAGCGCGCGUAGGCGGCUUUGCAAGUCGGGUGUGAAAUCCCCAGGCUUAACCUGGGAACUGCAUUCGAGACUGCAUUGCUAGAGUAUGGGAGAGGGAAGUGGAAUUUCCGGUGUAGCGGUGAAAUGCGUAGAUAUCGGAAGGAACAUCAGUGGCGAAGGCGGUUCUCUGGGCCUGUACUGACGCUGAGGAGCGAAAGCGUGGGGAGCGAACAGG
rnacentral:rRNA from 1 species